GAGUUUGAUCCUGGCUCAGGAUGAACGCUAGCGGCAGGCUUAAUACAUGCAAGUCGAGGGGCAGCAGGGUGUAGCAAUACAUCGCUGGCGACCGGCAAACGGGUGCGGAACACGUACGCAAUCUACCCAUAACUGGGGCGUAGCCCUCCGAAAGGAGGAUUAAUACCUCGUAACCUUUAAGAGUGGCAUCACUUUUUUAGUAUAGCUCCGGCGGUUAUGGAUGAGCGUGCGGCUGAUUAGGUAGUUGGCGGGGUAACGGCCCACCAAGCCUGCGAUCAGUAACUGGUGUGAGAGCACGACCAGUCACACGGGCACUGAGACACGGGCCCGACUCCUACGGGAGGCAGCAGUAAGGAAUAUUGGUCAAUGGAGGCAACUCUGAACCAGCCAUGCCGCGUGAAGGAUGAAGGUCCUCUGGAUUGUAAACUUCUUUUACAGGGGAAGAAACCGCUUUUUUCCAAGAGCGUUGACGGUACCCUGGGAAUAAGCACCGGCUAACUCCGUGCCAGCCGCCGCGGUAAC
rnacentral:rRNA from 2 species